AACGCAAAUGGCACUCUAUGGUAUUCCGUAGAGUACGUCUGUUUGAGCGUCGCGAACAUCUCUAUAAUUAGUUUUUUUUAAAUUGAUUAUGGGUUUUGAGGUUGUCAUGUAUAAUGACUCCCUUUAAAAUGAUUAGUGAUGACCUUAUGAAUGGGUUAAUACUGUGUGUUAUAAUGGAUUACAUCCAUCACCAGUCAGAGAGUAAUCUCGCCUUAGUAAUUUGUAGUGAUUGCUUCUAACUGCCAAUUUUUGGCAAACAACCUGAUCAAAUCGACCUCAAAUCAGAUGGGAUUACCCGCUGAACUUAA
rnacentral:misc_RNA from 1 species